rnacentral:lncRNA from 1 species
UCCUUCUAGCGCCAAUGUUAACGCCAAGAUCUUUCUCCACGUCCCAAUCACGAAAGACGUCCUGAUCCUGCACAGUAAACAUGACAAACACCACAAGCUUGACGGCUGGACCGCCGGGGGAUAGCUCAGGCGUAAGAGUAAGUAUGUCUGUUCACAAAGUUAACUCAAGAGGAUAAUAGAAUUUAGUGUAUUGAGAGUGAUAAUUUAUGAGUUGUGUGAAUGUGUAUAUAUGAAUAAAACGUACCUCCUUGUGAAGACUUACUCACUAAGAAAUAAUAUCCUUGCUUGGAUUAUCGUGCCGCCCACUAUCACCUGACAUAUCCCCCUGACCUGAUGGAUUCGACCGACUGCAUGGAGUUCGUCCACUGCUCUUGGCCACUGUUUGCACCACCGGCUGACUAUAAUCCCAACCACAUUAAUGUAUGGCAAAUAUCUUGGUCAACUGUCAUACUAUAUCAUCAUUACAAGUCAAAGUAAUAGAUAUUAAAUGACCCAAUGGGUUAAUCCAACGAACCGACCCGGUCCAAUAGGAUUAAAUAAAGUUGACACAAUAGAUGGGCUCAAAGAGUCCCAUGGCUUAAUUAUAAAAGCCCAACAGAUUAAACUGAUAAAUGGGCCCAAUAUACCCGGCCCAAAAUAGGAGAAAUAUCAUGACCCAACA